rnacentral:tRNA from 2 species
CUCGCGGUAGGCAAUCUGGUAGACCACGUGGAAUGAGAGUCCGCGAUGCUGGGGGUUCGACUCCCCUCUGCGAGACCA